CGUUAAAACACAGGUUCCCGCACGAUCGCUGAAGUUAAGCAACGUUGUGCCUGAUCUGUACCUAGAGGGUAACUGCUUGGGAAUAUCAGGUAG